GAACUUAAGCAGGAAAAGAAGAAAGCUGAAAACACACUGAGGAUUAUGGGAGAGGGGCAAGUGCAUGAAGCUUCUCAAUGACAUACAGACACUCUAAAAGCUCAAGAGAUCAAUUAUUCAACUUCAAGAACUGAAAUUUGAACACAGAUUUUGAGCUUCCAAAUCAGCUGCUAAUAUGGGAAAGAUUGAAAUCAGCAAGUUUCUGGCUGUAAGCUAAAAGAGGCUCUUGAAUCAUAUUUCCGCCUGCUUAGCAAAUUUCUCUUGCGACAAUUGGAUGUUAUUUGGGGUUCCAUACUAGCAGGAAGAAGUACAAGCAAAGCUAAGUCAUUUUGAGAAUAAAUAUUAUCUCUCUAUAUAUUUGUAAAUGUUAUUUUCUUUUUUUUUGAGGUUUAUGAUUGAUCCUUGGCAUGUGUCCCCUUGUGUAUUGCUCUACUAAAAAUAGCCUAAAAAAGAAUUUUCCCCUCGAUGUGGAGCUUCUCUUUAGUUACAAUUCUACUUUCUCCUUCACUUGAGUAUCAGUCUUCAGAGAACUACCAUAACAAAGGAGUGGAUACAGAUAUACGCAAAAAAGUCUAUGAGAAAAUUAGUACAUUAAAUUUGUGAAAGCUCAUUUAAAGUAAUUUUCUACUAACAAUUUUAAUCAAAUGUAUUAAUCAUAUUUCUAUGCUUAGUGAUGUUAAAUAAAAAUUUAAAAGGUGGCAAUCAAUAAACAGAGAUAAAAGCUUCUCAAGAAUAAAUGAAAGGAAGUAAUAAAAAGACUCACUAAGCUGAAUUGCCUCCUAUCAACAGCAGCUGAUAAAAUAUUAAAAGAUUUGCCUUGUGUAA
rnacentral:lncRNA from 1 species